rnacentral:rRNA from 1 species
UUUAACUGAGCGUUCAGUUACUUGACGUAGACCCGAAACCGGGCGACCUACCCAUGAGCAGGAUGAAGCGAAAGUAAAAUUUCGUGGAGGUCCGAACCCACGAGCGUUGAAAAGCUCGGGGAUGACUUGUGGGUAGCGGUGAAAUUCCAAUCGAGCCCGGAGAUAGCUGGUUCUCCCCGAAAUAGCUUUAGGGCUAGCCUCAAGGUGAGAGAUACGGAGGUAGAGCACUGAAUGUCCUAGGGGGUAUUGCACCUACCGAAGACUAUCAAACUCCGAAUGCCGUCAUCUUAUACUUGGGAGUCAGACUGUGGGUGAUAAGAUUCAUAGUCGAAAGGGCAACAGCCCAGAUCGUCAGCUAAGGUCCCUAAAUGUAAGUUAAGUGGUAAAGGAUGUGGGAUUGCACAGACAACCAGGAUGUUGGCUUAGAAGCAGCCACUCAUUCAAAGAGUGCGUAAUAGCUCACUGGUCGAGUGAUCCUGCGCCGAAGAUUUCCGGGGCUAAAACUUACUACCGAAGCUACGGCAUCAGUAAUGAUGGGUAGGGGAGCUUCCCAUACGGGUUGAAGCAUGACCGUAAGGACAUGUGGACAGUAUGGGAGUGAGAAUGUUGGCAUGAGUAGCGAGAUGUGGGUGAGAAUCCCACAGGCCGUAAACCCAAGGUUUCCAGGGGAAGGUUCGUCCGCCCUGGGUUAGUCGGGACCUAAGCUGAGGCCGAAAGGCGUAGGUGAUGGACAACAGGUUGAUAUUCCUGUACUACCGAUAACCGUUUGAGAGAAGGGAUGACACAGUAGGAUAAGCUAAGCACACUGUUGGUUAUGUGUGCCCAAGCAUUGAGGCAGUCAAAGUAGGCAAAUCCGCUUUGAUAAUGCUAGGAUGUGAUGGGGAGCGAAAUUUAGUAGCGAAGUAGCUGAUUUCACACUGUCAAGAAAAGUCUCUAUCGAGGUUAA